rnacentral:lncRNA from 1 species
AUAAGUGGAACACAUUUAUUGUCCGCUCUCAAGUUGGGCAGUCAGGGUCGGAGAAGGGCAAUGACUCAUUCUUAGUUAGAAUGGGAUUCCAACUCAGCACCUUUUGAGUGAGAUUUUGAGAAGAGUUGCUCUUUGGAGAGCAUAGUACGAUGAAAGUUGUAAGUUGUGUUCGGGGGGAGUUAUUGUUUAUCAUCGGCCUCUAUGGUAGAAUCAGUCGGGGGACCUGAGAGGCGGUGGUUUACCUUGCGACGGAUGUCAGCGGUUUACCCUGCGGCGGAUGUCAGCGGUUCGAGUCCGCUUAUCUCCAACUCGUGAACUUAGCCGAUACAAAGCUUUAUGAUAGCACCCAUUUUUUUCGAUUCAGCAGUUCGAUCUAUGAUUAUCAUUCA